rnacentral:rRNA from 1 species
GGGAGCUUGCUCCCUGAUCUUAGCGGCGGACGGGUGAGUAACACGUGGGCAACCUGCCCUGCAGACUGGGAUAACUCCGGGAAACCGGAGCUAAUACCGGGUAAUACAUCGCACCGCAUGGUGCAAUGUUGAAAGUUGGCUUUCUGACCUAACACUGCAGGAUGGGCCCGCGGCGCAUUACCUAGUUGGUAAGGUAAGGGCUUACCAAGGCGACAAUGCGUACCCAACCUGAAAGGGUGAUCGGCCACACUGGGACUGAAACACGGCCCAAACUCCUACGGGAGGCAGCAGUAGGGAAUCUUCCGCAAGGGACAAAAGUCUGACGGACCAACGCCGCGUGAGUGACAAAGGCCUUCGGGUCGUAAAGCUCUGUUGUUAGGGAAAAACAAGUACCGUUCGAAUAGGGCGGUACCUUGACGGUACCUAACCAAAAAGCCACGGCUAACUACGUGCCACCAGCCGCGGUAAUACGUAGGUGGCAAGCGUUGUCCGGAAUUAUUGGGCGUAAAGCGCGCGCAGGCGGUCUUUUAAGUCUGAUGUGAAAGCCCACGGCUCAACCGUGGAGGGUCAUUGGAAACUGGAGGACUUGAGUGCAGAAGAGGAGAGUGGAAUUCCACGUGUAGCGGUGAAAUGCGUAGAUAUGUGGAGGAACACCAGUGGCGAAGGCGGCUCUCUGGUCUGUAACUGACGCUGAGGCGCGAAAGCGUGGGGAGCAAACAGGAUUAGAUACCCUGGUAGUCCACGCCGUAAACGAUGAGUGCUA